rnacentral:ncRNA from 1 species
UGUCUUCGGGGCGGGGUGAAAUUCCCCACCGGUGGUAAAGCCCACGACCGAGAGUAAUCUCGCUGAACCUGUGAAAUUCAGGUGCCGACGGUAUAGUCCGGAUGAGAGAGGAUU